UGGACAAUACCGUGCCCCUCUCGCAUGCAUCUUGGCUGAUGGCGUUGAUCUCUUUCCUCUGAAUCUUCAUGAUGCCGAUCUCCUCCAGCUCCUAAUCCGAGCUCCCUUGGCCAAUAGUGCUGAUCCCUCUUGAGAGUUUGAAUUUCUCCUUCUCCUAUCAUGCCAGACCUUCAUGGCAUCCAUCUCCCUCCAACCUGACCAACUCUAAGCUCUCCCACAUGCUCCGCCAUUGCUGGCACUGAAGCCAUCCGCAAGAAGCUCCAAAGCUUGCAUGCACAACCCCUAAUGGAGUUGAAGAUGCCUCCAAGUAGCUCCAAAGCUCCCG
rnacentral:lncRNA from 1 species